rnacentral:rRNA from 1 species
ACGGAGGGAGCUAGCGUUGUUCGGAAUUACUGGGCGUAAAGCGCACGUAGGCGGCUACUCAAGUCAGAGGUGAAAGCCCGGGGCUCAACCCCGGAACUGCCUUUGAAACUAGGUAGCUAGAAUCUUGGAGAGGUCAGUGGAAUUCCGAGUGUAGAGGUGAAAUUCGUAGAUAUUCGGAAGAACACCAGUGGCGAAGGCGACUGACUGGACAAGUAUUGACGCUGAGGUGCGAAAGCGUGGGGAGCAAACAG